AACGCACCUUGCGCCCUCUGGUAUUCCGGAGGGCAUGCCUGUUUGAGUGUCAUGAAGACUUCAACCCUCCGGGUUUUUGCCCGGGAAGGUCGGAUCUGGGCGCCUGCCAUGGUGUAAUACCCGUGGCUCGCCUCAAAAUUGUCAGUGGUGAUCAGGCCCUCGACGAGAGUAAUAAGUUUCUCUUGUGUUGGGCCGUAGGGAACCGCUAAUAACCCCGCCGUCAGGCGACUUUUUGACUCUGACCUCAAAUCAGGUAGGACUACCCGCUGAACUUAA
rnacentral:misc_RNA from 1 species